ACUGAGAUAAAUUUACAUCCAGUUCCAGGUUCUGAGAGGAAGCUGCUUUUGUGCAAAGUUGUACGGUUAAUAGUUUCACAAUAUUUCCUUCCCAUUUAAAUUGUAUAAUUUCACCCUAUUAAUGACAGUGAUGGGAAAUUAACUGUAAUAACUAUUCAUCAAAUAUAUGUCUGACUGUAUCUGCAAUCUUCCAAAGGAAACAGGUGUACGUAUUCCAGUGAGCAUGUUGUGGUGAACCCACUAAAGUUUGCACCACAACUGCAAUGCUGCAAACAUACCCAAAAGUGCUUUGCAUCAGCUCAUAAGUAGAAAACAGGAUGUGUGCCCACCACCUGCCAAACCUCAGGGGUAUUUAGAAAAACAUAGCAAGGUAGCACACAGAUGUGGCUGCCAACAGACUAAAAAAAUAUUUUCACUUCAAAAACUCUGUGUAUACAAAUUCAAUUAUUGUUCAUUAACACACUAACAUGCUUCUGAGAGCAAGAAAUGGUAAAAACCAAAAGAUCCCUUCCCCCACCGCAAACAUGUGGAUGGAGCACACGGACUGUUAUCAUGCAUGCUGGAAAAAAACCCUUGUGGUCUAUUAAACUCUGACUGUCUAUUACAUGUGUUCACACAGUGUCUAUACUGUCCUCUAGUAUGUUGUUGAUCCUGAAUUUGGUUCCAUUCUGAAUGCCUAACGUAUAGGUAACCCUAUAUGUUACCCUGCUCUUUCCAUGAGAUGGAGGUAAGCAUAAGGAGCAGAGAUAUUUGAAGUUGUAAUAAGAUAAAAGAGACAGCUGACAGCUUGGCUUAAAGAGAGCGAAGGGGUUCCCGUUAAUCUUCUCUUCCUGUUUCAUCACACCACCACCACCACUUUGGUCAUCAUGACUAUCUUCAAAGAAAUUUCCCCACACAGGUCAAAGCAUUUCUAGGCAGGGGUAAUAGGUCAAUAUAACCAUAAGCAUACAAGGACUUUGAACCAUAUAGCUAUGUGUAUUAAAGAUUACCAUAAGGUGGUUAGUCUGUGAAGCACAGCUGAUUGUGAAAUACCAGAAUUGAGUUUAGACCAUAAAUGGCACAUUAGCUGAUUGUAAUUAGUCAAGUCAAGUCAAGUUUAUUUACAGUAUAUAGCGCUUCAUACACAGAGGUCAUUCAAUGUGCUUUACAUAAACAAAAGCAAACAGGAAUAGCUAAUAGGUAGGUAUACUUUUGCGUUCAUUCAUUAUUUUAUUUGGGUAGGGAAAUGGAAAAUGGAAAAACAAGUGGUCUAUGACUUUUUGAAGUUCUGUAGUCACAUGCUAUGUAAAAAUGAUGCCGUAUUUUGACCUAGGAUUACAACUGUUGACUUAAUGAAUGGAUAAUGUGAAAUGCAAAA